rnacentral:miRNA from 1 species
GCAGACAAAUUCCAGCCAAUCAGCAGCAGACCCUCCCUCCCAGACCCUUCCACCUCCUGGACAGCAUCCAUUUUACAUUCAUUGUGAAGCUGCAUUCUUAGUGAGCUGUCCAGGAGGUGGGAGGGUCUGGGAGGGAGGGUCUGCUGCUGAUUGGCUGGAAUGUGUCUG